rnacentral:rRNA from 1 species
UACGUAGGUGGCAAGCGUUGUCCGGAUUUACUGGGCGUAAAGAGCGCGCAGGCGGUCGUUCAAGUCGCGUGUGAAAGCCCCCGGCUCAACUGGGGAGGGUCACGCGAUACUGAUCGAGUCGAAGGCAGGAGAGGGAAGUGGAAUUCCCGGUGUAGUGGUGAAAUGCGUAGAUAUCUGGAGGAACACCGGUGGCGAAGGCGGCAGCCUGGACCGACACUGACGCUGAGGAGCGAAAUCCAGGGGAGCAAA